rnacentral:rRNA from 1 species
CCUACGGGAGGCAGCAGUGGGGAAUUUUGGACAAUGGGGGCAACCCUGAUCCAGCAACGCCGCGUGAAUGAAGAAGGCCUUCGGGUUGUAAAGUUCUUUUGUCAGGGAGCAAAGGGUUUGUGCUAAUACCGCAAACUGUUGAGAGUACCUGAAGAAUAAGCACCGGCUAACUACGUGCCAGCAGCCGCGGUAAUACGUAGGGUGCAAGCGUUAAUCGGAAUUACUGGGCGUAAAGCGUGCGCAGGCGGAUGAUUAAGUUAGGAGUGAAAUCCCCGGGCUCAACCUGGGAACUGCUUUUAAGACUGGUCAUCUAGAGUUUGUCAGAGGGGGGUGGAAUUCCAAGUGUAGCAGUGAAAUGCGUAGAGAUUUGGAGGAACACCGAUGGCGAAGGCAGCCCCCUGGGAUAAAACUGACGCUCAGGCACGGAAGCGUGGGUAGCAAACAGGAUUAGAUACCCUGGUAGUCCACGCCCUAAACGAUGUUUACUUGCUGUUGGGGGUAACCUUAGUAGCGAAGCUAACGCGAGAAGUAAACCGCCUGGGGAGUACGGUCGCAAGAUUAAAACUCAAAGGAAUUGACGG